rnacentral:rRNA from 1 species
UGGGAAUAAGCAUCGGCUAACUCCGUGCCAGCAGCCGCGGUAAUACGGAGGAUGCGAGCGUUAUCCGGAUUUAUUGGGUUUAAAGGGUGCGUAGGCGGAUUAAUAAGUCAGUGGUGAAAACCUUCAGCUUAACUGGAGACUUGCCAUUGAUACUGUUAGUCUUGAGUACGGUCAAGGUAGGCGGAAUGUGUAAUGUAGCGGUGAAAUGCUUAGAUAUUAUACAGAACACCGAUUGCGAAGGCAGCUUACUGGGCCAUUACUGACGCUGAUGCACGAAAGCGUGGGGAGCGAACAGGAUUAGAUACCCUGGUAGUCCACGCCGUAAACGAUGAUCACUCG